rnacentral:rRNA from 1 species
GACGUAGGGCGCGAGCGUUGUCCGGAUUUAUUGGGCGUAAAGAGCUCGUAGGCGGCUUGUCGCGUCGAAUGUGAAAACCCGAGGCUCAACUUCGGGCUUGCAUUCGAUACGGGCAGGCUAGAGUUCGGUAGGGGAGACUGGAAUUCCUGGUGUAGCGGUGAAAUGCGCAGAUAUCAGGAGGAACACCGAUGGCGAAGGCAGGUCUCUGGGCCACUACUGACGCUGAGAAGCGAAAGCAUGGGGAGCGAACAGG